AGUGGGGUGGAGCAGUGGUAGCUCGUUGGGCUCAUAACCCAAAGGUCGUAGGUUCGAAUCCUGCCUCCGCAA
rnacentral:tRNA from 1 species